rnacentral:lncRNA from 1 species
CAGCACUAAGGGAGUGGGGGCCAGGGGCUUUCUCCACAGCCUGGAGCCGGCACAGCUCGGUCCACCUUGUCCCACACCUGGGCCGACUCCCACGUGGUGACUGAGCUCGGCGAGGGGACCAGCACCCUCCUCGCAGGAAGGCUGCGGCUUCCUGUGCCCAUCCAAACUGCUCAGGGCCGGUUUUUUUCUUGAGAAAGUCUUUUUCUUAUGGCAGAAGUGAACUGUUCCCUCCGCCAAAGAGUGACCACAACUUGGGAACAAGCCAGCUCUUCAUGUCCUGGGAGGUUGGAGGAUCUUUGGACGAGCUACUGAGGGACUGGAAGUGGACUGCAGUUUGGAGGUGCAGGGGCUCAGGCGUCCUCAUUUGUGGGUGUGCAGCCGGGGUCUGCUGAGCGGGAGGGGUGCUCCCCCUCCUGACACCAGCUGCUCCCUCUGAAUGGUUCUGGGCUUUUAAUACUUUGGUGGCAGGGAGAGGAUCCUGGAAAAGAACCAGAAAUGCCCUUGGUGGCCUGGCAACCCCACUCCUGGGGAGCCGCACGGGAAAGGACACACUCAGCUCCGGGGGACCCCCAUGCGGGCCUGCGCAGCUCCGGCC